CUUAUUUACUUUAAUGUACUACUGCAACAGUUUGUCAUCGCAACUCCUCUCAAACCACACAACAGAAUUUCAUGAAACUUUGUAGAUAAUAAGGACAUACUAUGUAGUUGUGCAUAUCGACGGGAAAUUGCGAUGCAAUUUUUUUUCUAGGAGUUACGCCCCUUUGAACUUAUUUACUUUAAUGUACUACUGCAACAGUUUGUCAUCGCAACUCCUCUCAAACCACACAACAGAA
rnacentral:lncRNA from 1 species